AAAGUCUGACCGAGCAACGCCGCGUGAGUGAAGAAGGUUUUCGGAUCGUAAAGCUCUGUUGUAAGUCAAGAACGUGUGUGAGAGUGGAAAGUUCACGCAGUGACGGUAGCUUACCAGAAAGGGACGGCUAACUACGUGCCAGCAGCCGCGGUAAUACGUAGGUCCCGAGCGUUGUCCGGAUUUAUUGGGCGUAAAGGGAGCGCAGGCGGUCAGGAAAGUCUGGAGUAAAAGGCUAUGGCUCAACCAUAGUGUGCUCUGGAAACUGUCUGACUUGAGUGCAGAAGGGGAGAGUGGAAUUCCAUGUGUAGCGGUGAAAUGCGUAGAUAUAUGGAGGAACACCAGUGGCGAAAGCGGCUCUCUGGUCUGUCACUGACGCUGAGGCUCGAAAGCGUGGGUAGCGAACAGGAUUAGAUACCCUGGUAGUCCACGCCGUAAACGAUGAGUGCUAGGUGUUAGGCCCUUUCCGGGGCUUAGUGCCGGAGCUAACGCAAUAAGCACUCCGCCUGGGGAGUACGACCGCAAGGUUGAAACUCAAAGGAAUUGACGGGGGCCCGCACAAGCGGUGGAGCAUGUGGUUUAAUUCGAAGCAACGCGAAGAACCUUACCAGGUCU
rnacentral:rRNA from 1 species